AGUGAACGCUGGCGGUAGGCCUAACACAUGCAAGUCGAACGGCAGCACAGGAGAGCUUGCUCUCUGGGUGGCGAGUGGCGGACGGGUGAGGAAUACAUCGGAAUCUACUCUGUCGUGGGGGAUAACGUAGGGAAACUUACGCUAAUACCGCAUACGACCUACGGGUGAAAGCAGGGGACCUUCGGGCCUUGCGCGAUUGAAUGAGCCGAUGUCAGAUUAGCUAGUUGGCGGGGUAAAGGCGCACGAAGGCGACGAUCCGUAGCUGGUCUGAGAGGAUGAUCAGCCACACUGGAACUGAGACACGGUCCAGACUCCUACGGGAGGCAGCAGUGGGGAAUAUUGGACAAUGGGCGCAAGCCUGAUCCAGCCAUACCGCGUGGGUGAAGAAGGCCUUCGGGUUGUAAAGCCCUUUUGUUGGGAAAGAAAUCCAGCUGGCUAAUACCCGGUUGGGAUGACGGUACCCAAAGAAUAAGCACCGGCUAACUUCGUGCCAGCCGCCGCGGUAA
rnacentral:rRNA from 1 species